CAGCCAUUCCGCGUGCAGGACGAAGGCCUUCGGGUUGUAAACUGCUUUUGUACGGAACGAAAAAGCCUUGGUUAAUACCCAGGGUCCAUGACGGUACCGUAAGAAUAAGCACCGGCUAACUACGUGCCAGCAGCCGCGGUAAUACGUAGGGUGCAAGCGUUAAUCGGAAUUACUGGGCGUAAAGCGUGCGCAGGCGGUUAUAUAAGACAGAUGUGAAAUCCCCGAGCUUAACUUGGGAACUGCAUUUGUGACUGUAUAGCUAGAGUACGGCAGAGGGGGAUGGAAUUCCGCGUGUAGCAGUGAAAUGCGUAGAUAUGCGGAGGAACACCGAUGGCGAAGGCAAUCCCCUGGGCCUGUACUGACGCUCAUGCACGAAAGCGUGGGGAGCAAACAGGAUUAGAUACCCUGGUAGUCCACGCCCUAAACGAUGUCAACUGGUUGUUGGGUCUUCACUGACUCAGUAACGAAGCUAACGCGUGAAGUUGACCGCCUGGGGAGUACGGCCGCAAGGUUGAAACUCAAAGGAGUUGACGGGGACCCGCACAAGCGGUGGAUGAUGUGGUUUAAUUCGAUGCAACGCGAAAAACCUUACCCACC
rnacentral:rRNA from 1 species